rnacentral:lncRNA from 1 species
UUUGAUUGAGAACUUUAUCUUGGCAUGAUCCAAAUCAAGAUGUUUAGAUUCAAACGGGCGUUCGUCAUCAGCUUUAGACUUUUGGGGUGCUUGGAUCGAUGAUCCAAUCCACAUUUAUAAAUUCAUAACUUAAUAUCUAUAAGAGGGAAAAAUUCAAAUAUACAACUAAACUGGUAGUGGUUUUAUUCGUCUAGUCUUUGAAAAGUCUGUCAAGAUAGACACAGUAACCAUAAUUAAUUAAAUAGACAAAACAAUGCAGUGCGCAGUCCUUGCGACAGCGGUAACCACAUCUACCUCUGUACUUUGUUCAACUGCCACUGUCUGUAUUUUUACACACCCAUGACCUUGUUAAUUAAUUACUCUUAACUUUGUGUAGUUUGGUCUACGCACGGUUCUAAGCAUGCAAAUUACGCAAUCAUCUUACUAUUGUGUACUAGGAAUAGUACAAUACUGGUCAGCUAACGCACCAUUCAGUUUUGUUUAAUGGUAUAUAAAGUCUACAUUCCUUUUAAUUUUUUUACAAACCUUUGUGUUACUUCCUUUGUAUUUAAAUAAUAAUCUCUUCGUAUUUAUAGUCAAUAUACAGUGCCACGGAUUUAAAAUGCGAGCUAGUUAUUGUGUCAAAGUGUACGUGAUACUCUAUAUUUAAAUAUUGCUAAAAGGGUAAUAUAUGGGUGCAAGUGGACCGGUCCGCGAAUCCGUUUAUAGAGUGGUUUACCCACUUAAUUUAUCUAUAAUUAGGUUUGUGGAUCAAUCCAGUUACACCAAUUAAAACGUGACAACUUCGCUACACGUAAAUAUAGUUGGAUUGCAAAAUUUUAAUCUUUUUUACAGUAUGCUUGAUUAAGUUGCCUGGGACGAUUAAUUUUUGGAUUAACGGUUCCACAAGGAAAAAAAAAACAGUACUGCUGCGACAGCUGCUGGUAGGUCGAUCCACAACCGUUAGAUCGAGGCCCAAACGACCGCAGGCCGUUGGAUGCUGCGACGGAUGGACGAUCGGGGCGCGCAUGCAACGGCUACCUGCCGGAGCACCAGUCGUUGCAGUUGUCGGCCUUGCAGCGCUGGUAGCAGCCGCCCCACUGGAAGAGGUUGUUGAUCAGGCACUUCACCCGGCACGUCGCCUCGCAGAUCUGGCAGUCGAUGCUGCUCGCCAGCUUGCUCCGCCCNN